rnacentral:rRNA from 1 species
GCUUACGGCCAUACCACGUUGAAAGCACGACAUCUCGUCUGAGAUGUCAAGUUAAGCAGCGUUGGACCUGGCUAGUACUUGGGUCGGAGACGGCCUGGGAAUCCCAGGUCCCAGGUGCU